rnacentral:rRNA from 1 species
UACGUAGGGCGCAAGCAUUGUCCGGAAUUAUUGGGCGUAAAGAGCUCGUAGGCGGUCUGUUACGUCCGCUGUGAAAACCCAGGGCUUAACCCUGGGCUUGCAGUGGAUACGGGCAGACUAGAGGCAGGUAGGGGAGAAUGGAAUUCCCGGUGUAGCGGUGAAAUGCGCAGAUAUCGGGAGGAACACCGGUGGCGAAGGCGGUUCUCUGGGCCUGACCUGACGCUGAGGAGCGAAAGCGUGGGGAGCGAACAGG